GGGAGAGUAACGCGUAAUUAUGUGCCCACGGGUUCGGAAUAGCCACGGUGAACUGUGGGUAAUGCCGAAUAACGUCUCCGGAUCACAAGUGUGAUUCCGCCCUUGGAACUAACUGCCUCCUACUAACAAUGUGGUGGGGUAAUGGCCCGCCUACGCAACGAUGGCUACCGUGUGUGAUGUGUUGACCCCUCUCCCUGGGACUGAUGCUCUGCCCACACCCCUACCGGUGUCUGCCGGCUAGAAUCUUCCGCUCUGACCGCAAACUUGACCGAGCGACCCCGCGUGCGGCAUGAAAGCCCUCUUGUUGUAACCCCCUGUCGUACGGGAGGAAAUCUAUCGGGGUUCUCCCGGGUACUCGACCUAUCCUAUGAGGAACCUUUGGCUUUCUUCCUGCCUCCAUCCCCGGUAAGACUAACCGUACUAACGUUAUUCCGAAUUACUGGGCUUAAAGGGUUUGUAGGCGGCCUUGUAAGUCGGGUGUGAAAUCCCUCGGCUCAACCGAGGAAUGGCGCCCGAUACUGCAAGGCUUGAGGGAGCAGGGGUAAGCAGAAACUGAUGGUGGAGCGGUGAAAUGCGUUGAUAUCAUCAGACAACACCGGUGGCUAAUCCCGCUUACUGCGUC
rnacentral:rRNA from 1 species